GAAGACUGUUGCCAGCAAACAGAUGUUUGCAUUUCACAAUCUCCCAGGAUCUCAGGCCCUCUUCCUGGAUAUAUAUCCUUCCUGGAUGGUCUAUAUCCUGGAUAAGAGAGAAAGAAACAAACCUAAAAAAACCCCAAUACAACAGCAGAAGCUGCUUGGUCCCAGAAGGCCAUCCAGGAGAGCCUUUAAAGAUCACCUUGUCUAUUCCCCCUUUACUUUACAGCUCUGAGAUUCUGUGAUUCUGCAAAGUCUGAUGAUUAAUACUAGCUAAGUUCAAGUUUCCAGUCUCAGAAGAGGUGGCCUACAUAUGUGAAACAAUUUGAGGAUUAUAAAAAGAGCUACAAUUGUGCCAUAUCCAGAUUCUAAACUUUGAAAGUAUUCCAAAAUAUGCCUACACAGUAUAAAUGGAAGAAAUAAUCACAAAACAAUCGAAUGUGAAUGUUGGAAAAUUACAAAGAACAAGCAUGGCCUUAGAAAAGAGAUAUGAGAAGACACUCCCCUCUAAUCCUUUGCGCAUAUGGAAGACCCACGAGUGAGCAAUACAACAUGUAUUUUAAGAUUGUUUUGCAUUUAUUAAUCAGUUUUAUGAUUUGUUUUUGCUCUUCCUUUCUAUUUGAGAAUAUUUUUUGUCAUAUAUGAUGGCUUGGGAGGAGAAUGAAAGAGGAAAAAGGAGGAGAUUUAAGUGAUAUAAAACCAAGACAUCAAUAAUUUUUUAAAGCAUUCCAGAAAGGUUAAUUUGGAGUUGAGGAAGGCCUGCUAGAGAAGAUGGGACAUAAAUUGGGCCUUGAAUAGAUUUGGAUGGGCAGUAGAGACUGCCUUCUACAAAUGAUAGGGAAUGAUGUUGAAAGAGGGGUGACUGGAAAGAUAUAGAAGUCUGACUCUUCUGGGCCUCAUCUCCCCUUCAAACAAAGAAAAAGAAGGAAAAGGCCUGGUUUGGCAAUCAGAGAGCUGAUUUACCUCCAGCUAAAAAUAGUCUUCAACCAGCAGGUGAGUGACUCACCAAGCUCAGUGAAAACCUCCUGAAUUGGGGAAAUAUGGUGUCCCUGCUGAACCUAAUUUCCCUUAGGUGCCUCAAUAGCAGGAAGAGCUGGCUGAAAGAAAAUGACAACACAUUUCCUAUCUCUUCCUGCUGCUUCUUCACUUUCUCCCUCGGCUAUCUCCAUUCUCCUAUUUGUUGUCAUUAAAUAAUUAGUCUAAGUCAAGUCUGAUCUGAGCUAUUACACUAUUAC
rnacentral:lncRNA from 1 species